UAACGCGUGAGGAACCUGCCUUCCAGAGGGGGACAACAGUUGGAAACGACUGCUAAUACCGCAUGACACAUGACCGUGGCAUCACGGACAUGUCAAAGAUUUAUCGCUGGAAGAUGGCCUCGCGUCUGAUUAGCUAGUUGGUGGGGUAAUGGCCUACCAAGGCAACGAUCAGUAGCCGGCCUGAGAAGGUGAACGGCCACAUUGGGACUGAGACACGGCCCAAACUCCUACGGGAGGCAGCAG
rnacentral:rRNA from 1 species